UGUCUAUGGCGAAUUUACGAAUUAGUGU
rnacentral:piRNA from 1 species